rnacentral:tRNA from 1 species
UAGAUUAAAGCUUGUUGAUUUUAGCGUUUAGCCGUUAACUAAAAGGUCGCAGGGUUAGAGCCUGCUAAUCUAG